rnacentral:rRNA from 1 species
UACGUAGGGUGCAAGCGUUGUCCGGAAUUAUUGGGCGUAAAGGGCUCGUAGGCGGUCCAUCGCGUCGGGAGUGAAAAGCUGGGGCUCAACCCUGACAUUGCAUCCGAUACGGGCAGGCUAGAGUUCGGUAGGGGAGACUGGAAUUCCUGGUGUAGCGGUGAAAUGCGCAGAUAUCAGGAGGAACACCGGUGGCGAAGGCGGGUCUCUGGGCCGAUACUGACGCUGAGGAGCGAAAGCGUGGGGAGCGAACAGG